ACUCCUACGGGAGGCAGCAGUAGGGGAAUCUUCCACAAUGGACGAAAGUCUGAUGGAGCAACGCCGCGUGAACGAUGAAGGCCUCGGUCGUAAAGUUCUGUUGUAAGGGAAGAACAAGUGCCGCAGGCAAUGGCGGCACCUUGACGGUACCUUCGCGAGAAAGCCACGGCUAACUACGUGCCAGCAGGCCGCGGUAAUACGUAGGUGGCAAGCGUUGUCCGGGAAUUAUUGGGCGUUAAAGCGCGCGCAGGACGGCCUCUUAAGUCUGAUGUGAAAGCCCCGGUCUCAACCGGGGGAAGGGCCAUUGGAAACUGGGAGGCUUGAGUAUAGGAGAGAAGAGUGGAAUUCCACGUGUAGCGGUGAAAUGCGUAGAGAUGUGAGGAACACCAGUGGCGAAGGCGACUCUUUGGCCUAUAACU
rnacentral:rRNA from 1 species